CCUACGGGAGGCAGCAGUGGGGGAUAUUGCACAAUGGAGGGAACCCUGAUGCAGCGACGCCGCGUGGGUGAAGAAGGGCCUAGGCGUGUAAAGCUCUGUCAGCAGGGAAGAAAAUGACGGGACGUGAAGAAGAAGCCACGGAUAACAACGAGCAAGCAGCGGCGGGAAUACGUAGGGGGCAAGCGUUAGCCGGAUUUACUGGGUGUAAAGGGGGCGCAGACGGCUCUGCAAGACAGGAGUGAAAGCCCGGGGCCCAACCCCGUGACUGCUCUUGGAACUGCGUGGCUGGAGUGCAGUAGGGGCAGGCGGAAUUCCUGUUGUAGCGGUGAAAUGCUUAGAUAUCACGAGGAACCCCGGUUGCGAAGGCGGCCUGCUGGACUGCACCUGACGUUGAGGCCCG
rnacentral:rRNA from 1 species